GAUACGUUGAGCUAACCGAUACUAAUGAACCGUGAGGCUUAACCUUACAACGCCGAAGC
rnacentral:rRNA from 1 species